rnacentral:rRNA from 1 species
GCAAGUCGAACGAGUAAGGCCUACCUUGCUAGGAUUCUGUUAGUGGCGCACGGGUGAGUGACGCGUGGGAAUUUACCUAAUAAUAUGGAAUAACAUUCAUAAAUGAAUGCUAAUACCGUAUAAGCCCUGAGGGGGAAAGAUUUAUCGCUAUUACAUGAGCCCGCGUUGGAUUAGUUUGUUGGUAAGGUAACGGCUUACCAAGGCUACGAUCCAUAGCUGGUCUGAGAGGAUGAUCAGCCACACUGGGACUGACACACAGCCCACACUCCUACGGGAGGCAGCAGUGGGGAAUAUUGGACAAUGGGCGAAAGCCUGAUCCAGCAAUGCCACGUGAGUGAUGAAGGCCUUCGGGUUGCAAACGCUCUUUUAACAAGGAAGAUAAUGACGGUACUUGUACAAAAAGCACCGGCUAACUCCGUGCCACCAGCCGCGGUAAUACGGAGGGUGCUAGCGUUGUUCGUAAUUACUGGGCGUAAAGGGCGCGUAUGCGGUUAAUUAAGUUGGAAGUGAAAUCCCAGAGCUCAACUCUGGAACUGCUUUCAAAACUGGUUGGCUAGAGUUAGGUAGAGGAUAGUGGAAUUCCCAAUGUAGAGGUGAAAUUCGUAGAUAUUGGGAGGAACACCAGAGGCGAAGGCUACUAUCUGGACCUUACCUGACGCUGAGGCGCGAAAGUGUGGAGAGCAAACAGGAUUAUAUACCCUGGUAGUCCACACUGUAAACGAUGAGUGCUAGGUAUUGUAUUUUAAUUCAGUGCCGUAGCUAACGCGUUAAGCACUCCGGCUGGGGACUACGGUCGCAAGACU